GUGGGGAAUAUUGCGCAAUGGGGGAAACCCUGACGCAGCGACGCCGUGUGAGGGAAGAAGGCUUUCGGGUCGUAAACCUCUGUCAGAAAGGAAGAACCUCCCAAGUCCGAAUAGGGCUUGGGACUGACGGUACUUUCAAAGGAAGCACCGGCUAACUCCGUGCCAGCAGCCGCGGUAAUACGGAGGGUGCAAGCGUUAAUCGGAAUCACUGGGCGUAAAGCGCGCGUAGGCCGCUUUGUAAGUCGGACGUGAAAGCCCUCGGCUCAACCGGGGAACUGCGUUCGAUACUGCGAGGCUUGAGUCCUGGAGAGGGUGGCGGAAUUCCGGGUGUAGGAGUGAAAUCCGUAGAUAUCCGGAGGAACACCGGUGGCGAAGGCGACCACCUGGACAGGUACUGACGCUCAUGCACGAAAGCGUGGGGAGCAAACAGGAUUAGAUACCCCAGUAGUCC
rnacentral:rRNA from 1 species